rnacentral:rRNA from 1 species
UACCAGCUCUCCGAGUGGUGUGGAUGUUUAUUGGGCCUAAAGCAUCCGUAGCUGGCUGGGCAAGUCCCCUGUUAAAUCCACCGAUUUAAUCGUUGGUGUGCGGGGGAUACUGUUCGGCUAGGGGACGGGAGAGGCCGACGGUAUUUUCGGGGUAGGGGUGAAAUCCUAUAAUCCCGGGAAGACCACCAGUGGCGAAGGCUGUCGGCUAGAACGCGCCCGACGGUGAGGGAUGAAAGCGUGGGGGAGCGAACCGGAUUAGAUACCCGGGUAGUCCCAGCUGUAAACGAUGCAGGCUAGGUGUUUGGGCGGCCACGUGCCGCUCUAGUGCCGCAGAGAAGUCGUUAAGCCUGCCGCCUGGGGAGUACGGCCGCAAGGCUGAAACUUAAAGGAAUUGGCGGGGGAGCACCACAAGGGGUGAAGCUUGCUAGUUU